AUUGAACGCUGGCGGCAUGCUUUACACAUGCAAGUCGAACGAGUGGCGGACGGGUGAGUAAUAUAUCGGAACGUGCCCAGUAGCGGGGGAUAACUACUCGAAAGAGUGGCUAAUACCGCAUAUGAUUGGAUGGGCCGAGAUCGGAUUAGCUAGUUGGUGGGGUAAAGGCUCACCAAGGCAACGAUCCGUAGCUGGUUUGAGAGGACGACCAGCCACACUGGGACUGAGACACGGCCCAGACUCCUACGGGAGGCAGCAGUGGGGAAUUUUGGACAAUGGGGGAAACCCUGAUACAGCCAUCCCGCGUGUAUGAGAAGGCCUUCGGGUUGUAAAGUACUUUUGGCGUAGAAGCGGUAUCUGCAGAAUAAGCACCGGCUAACUACGUGCCAGCAGCCGCGGUAAUUC
rnacentral:rRNA from 1 species